UGUGCCAAGCCCACCGUGCAAUAUUGCAAAUAUACACACGAUAAGUAUCAUACGUGUCCAUAUAGGUACUGUUGGUGGAUAACACCGAAUACCAUUCUUGACUGAUAAAAGCAGUUCACCACAAGCGUGAAAUGGCUAGGGAGAUUGAGAAAGGACACGGAAAGAGGGAAGAAAAGGGUUGUGAAAAUGUGACAGACAAAGAUGACCUCAACACUGCGGACAAACAGUUAACUUUAUCCUGCGUGGAUCUCCGAAUCACCACCGCCCAGCACUUAAAUGAAACAAGAAAGGCCCCGCCCUCCGAUUUAAAGCAUGAAGACAAUAGCAGAAUGAAGCUGGUUGUGCUUAUAGGUGCCUGCUACAACAUAUUUGUGGCACCAGGAUUUCCGUUUGCUAUUGGGGCCCUCUAUCUGGAGAUACUUGAUACAUUUAAUUCGACGAGAGGAGAGACAUCUCUGGUGCCAGCGUUUUGCCUUGGGAUGCACGUUUGGCGUUGGUUUCCUGAGUGGGUUUUUCAUCCAGAGAUGUGGAAUGAAGACCGUGAUGGUUGCUGGAGGAUUAGUCAGCUCAUUGGGUUUAUUCACAAGCUGGUUUGCUCAGUCGGUCGUACAUCUGAUAGUUACUGUUGGGGUUAUAAAUGGAUUUGGAAACAGUUUCAUCUUCAUUUCUAUUACAAAACUGGUGGCAGGCACAUUCAACAAGAGCCGAAGUCGAAGUCUUGCACUGGCAGGAAUUAUGUUCAGUGGUGGAAUCGGAACUAUUCUAUUUCUCGCUACACUAAAUAGUGUUUACGGAUGGCGAGGAACGUUUCUCUUGAUCAGUUGCUUUUAUCUUCAAACCAUCGUUUCAACGUUAGUGAUAACAUCUAGUUUAGGGAAUCCCCAAUUUUUUAAAGGACAACGACCAACAGGUCACGUCACAGGAAAGGAGUCCAAAUCCAAGUGGAAGCUAAUGUUGAAGCCUGUUUUCGUAUCCUUCGUUAUAACAUCCGGUUUAACCUUUGGAACAGCAAACAACAUCGGUGGUAUUUUAUCGGAUUUGGCUAAAAGUAAAGGAUUCUCUGAAGAAAGAGGACUGGCACUCAUUCUUUACUACAACUCGUUUAACACAAUAGCUCGACUGUUAAGUGGCAUUCUGAAGCUUAUACCUCGACUCCACAGUAUCAUCAUAUUCACGUUGUCUGCGGCUCUUCUUGGAAUCUCAUUGAUGUUUCUUGGAGCAUCCACCGAAUGGUCGAUGUUGACAGUGUUGACAUCGACAGCUGGCGCUGGAAUUGGAGGGAUGACAGCUAUGCUUCCUGUUGUCUCACUGGAGGUUCUUUCGCAGGAGAUGC
rnacentral:misc_RNA from 1 species